UGGGGAAUAUUGCACAAUGGGCGCAACCCUGAUGCAGCCAUGCCGCGUGUAUGAAGAAGGCCUUCGGGUUGUAAAGUACUUUCAGCGGGGAGGAAGGGAGUAAAGUUAAUACCUUUGCUCAUUGACGUUACCCGCAGAAGAAGCACCGGCUAACUCCGUGCCAGCAGCCGCGGUAAUACGGAGGGUGCAAGCGUUAAUAGGAAUUACUGGGCGUAAAGCGCACGCAGGCGGUUUGUUAAGUCAGAUGUGAAAUCCCCGGGCUCAACCUGGGAACUGCAUCUGAUACUGGCAAGCUUGAGUCUCGUAGAGGGGGGUAGAAUUCCAGGUGUAGCGGUGAAAUGCGUAGAGAUCUGGAGGAAUACCGGUGGCGAAGGCGGCCCCCUGGACGAAGACUGACGCUCAGGUGCGAAAGCGUGGGGAGCAAACA
rnacentral:rRNA from 1 species